UUUAAUGCAUAUUAAUCUGUUUUUCCAUCCAAGAAUCCCUGACAAUCGAGGCGAUGAGCUCUGCACCUCUUCGUUCUCACUUCGCUGAAACGCCUCACCAAAAAUCUCAGCGCCGCCGCUACAUCCUCCUACUCCAGAAGAGAGAAGUGAAAGAUUACUGCGUGGGGCUCAUUAAGAACGUUUUAUUUUGUCUGCAAUCCCCCCCCCCCCUCCGUCUAUUGUCUCUCCACCCUCUCAGCGAAAGUCUCGACGGAGUCACAGCCCUGGGUGCAUCGCAGCGACGAGACAAAUGCAGAAAAUGAACUGGAAGAAAACAGGGAGGCGAGAAAAACGCGCGGCUGGCCGACGAUGGCCGAAAACUCAAAGGAGAGAUGGUUACACUGCAUCGCCAGCUUGCCUCAUCUGAAUCCCUGACUCCUGACCUCCCCUGAGGAAGGUGCUCACUGUCAGAAGAACCCCCGGCAUCCUACCGCCACAGAAAGGUGAUUCCUUUAAAGCGCCAGAAACGGAUGAAGGAGCGAGAGGGGGCUGCGCGAGGCGGGCAGACGGGGAGGGGAGCUGUCGCUUGUGUCAGGUUAACCUCAGAGACACAUCCGGAGCUCAGCAUCUGGGAGACGGAGGGGAGAGAGAAAGGCACCGCCGCUCCAUUUGGCGCAAUUUCACCUCGGCAGCAACAGAUAGCAAGUCCCGUUGAAGUCUUUAAGGUAACCUAUUAUGAUGUUUCAUUAUAGAUUUUGCGUUCUAUAUUUUUAAAUGUAUUUCAUGCACAAGUUUAUUUUAUAAAGGUCUUGUAAAGUUUAAAUAGCCUUCUGCGUAAGAGAAAAAUAAAAGCCACUCUCUUGCAUUACUUGUUGACUGUGUGGACAUACGCAUAUCUCUUUCUUUCUAUCUUAUCUUUUUUUUUUUUUUUUUUUUUUUUUUUUUUUAAACAAAUCUAAAAUUCAUUAGAUUUAUUUUACGGUGUUUUUACCCUUGAUCACAAACCUCGUGAUUUGUGUGGAAAUGCAACGAAUCUCCCAGGUUUAGAAAAAAGGGUAAAUGAUUACAUAAAAAAAGAGAGAGAGAGAGAGAAAAAUAACAGAUGGGCCUGCCUAAAAAAAUAUGAUUUUCUACAAAUGAUUGCAUUCUCUCCCCUUUGGUGUGAAAAGUAGACUCAAGAACACUUUUAAAUAAUUUGUUCAAUUUGUUCCACAGCCAAAGAAAAGCGGCUUGGUGGAAAUUCAGAUUCAUUAAAACUUAAUUAAUAUGCAUCAUUAUGUAAAUGAGGUUGCAGUUAAUGAGUUCUUAAAAGAAGCCUUCCUUAAUUAGUUCACUUUUUAAUGGCAUCAUCAUUUAUCUUUUUUUCUUUGAAGCAGAAUGACGCGAGGACCUCGCCGUUCCCGAAAGUGCUAAAAUUUUCCAUUUUUUAAUUAUUCUUAUUUCCUUAAUUUUUAUAUGAUUAAGAAUGCAUUUAGGGAAGUAAAUAAAUGAGAAAAACUUAGACCUUUUUUUUUUUUUCCACACUCACUUAUUUCCAUUAAAACAGAGUCUCUGUAGAUGCCGGAGUGUUUAAAAAGUUAAAGGGAAAGCAUCUUCUUACAAAACAAUCAAGGCUGUCUCACAAUUACCUCCUUGGCUUCUGCGAGUAGCUUCAUUUCUACUAAAUCUGAGCAGCCUCUUAAUUGCUCUCUCCAGUUGGGCUGCAGUAUAUAUUACCACACUCCAUUACUAUUUAUGGAGCCUGAGAUUCAUAUUGCAAAUAUGAAUAUGACUGUGGUCAUUUCCUUCUGUAUUCAUUCUCUCAUUUAUUCAUUUACAUACUCAAUCACUCGAUUUUUUUCCCUUUAAUUUAUUUAGUUAUUUACUUACUCCGUAAACAAUUUACCUCUGAUAUAAUGGAUAAAAUUAAUAAGCUAUCUAAUUUUUUUGUUCACCGCAUCUGAUGGGUUUGGGAAACUAAAUGAGAAUUUAGGAAAUCAUAUUUACCUAUAUACAAAAACAUAUAUGUAUAUAAAUUGAGGGUGUCUGUUUUAAUUUUCAUGUGUAAGACAUGCAGGAACAACAAUGUGUUUAAUUUCUGUGUGAGAUCGGUGUCUCACACAUAAGGAAAGAUGUAUAAUAAAACCUUGCAAAUCGCAAGCGGGAUAAUUUUACGAUUACUCUCACAUGCAAGAUAGCAGUGUAAACUAUACCAUUUGACGGCUGUGUUUGUGAACGUGUGUGUUUGUUUGUAAAGGUAGAGAGGGUGUGUGUGUGUGUGUGUGUGUGUGUGCGUGAAGGGGGAGACACAGUGUUUUAUGUUCCCGCUCACUAACCAUCACUCUGCUCCUAAUUGAUAACCACUGGCAUUUGAUCAGGCGGUCUUCAAACAAGGAAUCUAUCUUUGUAUUUUGUAUAAGAAGACCAUCUGUUGUUGCAGAGCUCUACAUUCAUUAAAUUUAAUUUCUCAACCCAGGAAUAAGAUUUUAAUUGUCCAUUGUUACUGGAGGAUUUUCCCCAUCAUGCCUCCAUGGAUAUAUAUAUAUAUAUAUAUUAUUAUUAUUUUUUUUUUUUUUUUUUUGGGACAGGCUGGUGUUUGUUUGUUUACUGGUACUCGUUGACGUGACCCAGACAUUUACGAAAAGUGAAACUAACAAGUACAAUGCGCACAUUACACACGUAAGUGCAUAUAAGUGCAUUUCAUUGAAAGCAGAGCGUAUUUUGUAACGCUCUUGCAGAAAGUUGAAGCAAGCGAAAUGAGAACAAAAUUAGUGCGUAAUUAGGAAAUAAAAAAUGAGCGUAUUUGGACACAUUUCUCGCAGGUUGUUAUUGGACAUUUUGAGCAGUGAAUCGUUUGGCAUUUGGUGUUCUGUGAGGAGCGACGGUGGGCAUGUGUUAACUACACACAGGACACUCGAGCGAAAACCAGACGCCCACCGAAUCCUUCAAUCUGUCAUUUCCUCUCGCGGCUCCCGAGCAAGAUAAAAAUAAAGCGAGCACAAAACACUUCUCUCUUAUUACUCUUUCAAAAUAAUGCUCUUCACACUUUAGUUCACUUCUCUGUAGCCUUAACUUGGAAACAUGUUGCAGUGAGCAUAUUGUUUAGAAAAUAAGUAGGCCUAAUUUAUUUUUUAUUUGCCAUGGGUGUUCGGCGAAUGAUCUAGGAUCAGUGUCAAAAUUCAAGAAAUAGUUUUCCUUUUCAAACUUGUAUUAGGAAUCGAGCUUGCCUAUAAAUAAAUUGUACAUUUCCUGAA